UACGGAGGAUGCAAGCGUUAUCCGGAUUUAUUGGGUUUAAAGGGUGCGUAGGCUGUUCGUCAAGUCAGAGGUGAAAUACCUGAGCCUAACUCAGGAACUGCCUUUGAUACUGGCGAGCUGGAAUACGGAUGCCGUGGGAGGAAUGAGUAGUGUAGCGGUGAAAUGCAUAGAUAUUACUCAGAACACCGAUUGCGGAGGCAUCUCACGAAACAGGCAUUGACGCUGAGGCACGAAGGCGUGGGGAUCAAAC
rnacentral:rRNA from 1 species